GAUGAACGCUGGCGGCGUGCUUAACACAUGCAAGUCGAACGGAAAGGCCCAAGCUUGCUUGGGUACUCGAGUGGCGAACGGGUGAGUAACACGUGGGUGAUCUGCCCUGCACUUCGGGAUAAGCCUGGGAAACUGGGUCUAAUACCGGAUAGGACCACUUCUUGGAUGUUGUGGUGGAAAGUUUUUUCGGUGUGGGAUGAGCUCGCGGCCUAUCAGCUUGUUGGUGGGGUAAUGGCCUACCAAGGCGUCGACGGGUAGCCGGCCUGAGAGGGUGUACGGCCACAUUGGUACUGAGAGACGGCCCAGACUCCUACGGGAGGCAGCAGUGGGGAAUAUUGCACAAUGGGCGCAAGCCUGAUGCAGCGACGCCGCGUGGGGGAUGACGGCCUUCGGGUUGUAAACUCCUUUCGCUAGGGACGAAGCGUUUUGUGACGGUACCUGGAGAAGAAGCACCGGCGAACUACGU
rnacentral:rRNA from 1 species